rnacentral:tRNA from 1 species
AAGGAUUUAAGUUAAGUUAAACUGAUGACCUUCAAAGUCAUAAAUGGAGAUUCUCUAGCCCUUG